UUCGGUUUAGAAAUUACGAAAAAGACUCAUUACGAGGCAUUAGACCAAAAAGGCUAACACCUUUCACUUUCACACUUAUCCAAAGGUUUUACUUGAUAAUAAAACUUAUUUUCAAACUACCCUUAAGGGUCGUUUGCCCCGUUUAUCAUUCAAGGGCGUUUUGGUCAACUUUAGCCCUUCUUUUACGACGAAGAGCUUUCAAUAACAUGUUUUGUCACACCCCCAAAACCCACAUGCGGAGUAUCAUCCGCUUGAGGGCGUGACUGACCAGGAUCCAGCCACCAAUUAUACUGAGCAAUUUAAUUAAUAGCAAAAGUAGUAUUCACCAACCACAGGGUUAGCAAAUAUCAUAAUCAAGUUCAAAAGUUUUAAGUUCAAAUAGUAACAAAAGUAGCGGAAGCAUAGACAAAACAGUUUAAAACAAAGUUCAUGGUUCAAGUUAUUUAGAACCCAACACAUGGGUUAGACGACCACUACACAUCCCCAAGUAGCAAGCUCCUGAGUCACUGGGUACCUGCAAAGCAUGCAGUAAGGUAUCAACAAAAAUGUUGGCGAGUUCACGAGUUGUCCAGUUUUUAAUUACCAAAAACUUGUUUCACCAGUUAAUUUAUCCGUUUAUACAUGCCAUGGGGAGCUACCCCAUAAGUAAGCGACUAAACUGUUUUUCCAAUAUCGAAUACUUCAUGUGACCGUACGUUUCCGUAAAGUGCCCCGUUUGUCAAUGUUCUAUCAUCAUUGACGGAUUUGCCAGAGUCUAUUAGUUCACUCCUGAUCCCAAACACGGGCACAGUGUGAGGCUAAUAAGACCUAAAUAGCGCUAUCAACUAAUAACCCGUUCGCCUGGCCCCGACGACUAAUCGGUAUUAAGUAGUAGGGACUUAAGUGAUAGAGUGUCGUUUAGUGUUGCCCGUUGCAUUCCGUAUAAACAGUAAUUAACUAAGAGUUCCCAGUAACAAGGGAAGAAAAGUAAGUUUGUAUCCCUCACAAGGGGAUAGUGUUGUUUUUAGUUUCAUUUCCCAAUCCACCGAGAACGCAUGCUUUAAGUUGUGAACUCACCUUGGGUUGCUCAGCAGAUUAGCUUACUUGGUCAAGCUUGCUGGUCACCACGUCCUAACAUGGUUACCAGUAUAGGUCAGAAUGCAAGCAGUAAUCAUUUAAGUUAUUGGGCCUGCUCUAAUAAUUACACGGUUUAAACAGUAACAGUUAACACAUAGCCCAGCAAAACACAUAGUCCAAACAUAACACAUUGUGGCCCAAUAACCAAGGUAGGCAGCCCAGUCGAGACAAGGUGGUCUCGACUCGAGAAUACGCGGUCUCGAGUCGCAACCAGGAGAUCUCGAGUUAUCACGUUUUGGUCUCGAGUGAUGCUGGCAUGAGUCGCAACCUCAGGGGUCUCGAGUCCAGUCUCGAGUCGAGAUCAUGAAGUCUCAAGUCGAGACCUUGCCGGUCUCGAGUCCUUGAAGUCUGUCUCGAGUUGUCACGUUUUGGUCUCGAGUCGCAACCGAAGGUCUCGACUCGCAAUCACGGAUGCGUGCACAGGUGAAAGCCUUCUAGAAUCUCUUAUGUAUUAUCCAAUGAAAUUGCAUGU
rnacentral:lncRNA from 1 species